rnacentral:ncRNA from 1 species
UAUGUGUGUGGGUAUGGUGAGAUUUAUGCAUCUGUACAGCAUAAUAGUAGUCGUGAUGGGAUAUUGGACAAAGCGAGAUACCAUAUGGAUUUUUUGAAUAUGAACAACAGCAGUAUUUUACGUUAUCGUUAGGUAGGGACCCGACAUAUCCCGGGACGCGAAGCUAAGCACCGUCCUGUGCAUGGGUAAUCUUCUGAGACUUCGCCGUGCUGAGGACAAUAACUUUCCAAAUCGUCUGGACUUGUGUCAAUGAUGGUCAUUCGAAUUUCUGCCCUAUCAACUUUCCAUGGUAGGAUAGAGGCCUAUUAUUGCUUUAACGGGUAACGAAGAAUUAGAGUUCGAUUGCGGAGAGACUCUGAGGAACGGCUACCACAUCCAAGGAAGGCAA